rnacentral:rRNA from 1 species
UUUUAAUUAAGGGGAAUGUUUCUUAAUAAAUUAGUGGGACGAGAAGACCCUAUAAACCUUUAAUAAUUUAAGAAUAAAGUUUAGUAUUAAAUGUUUAGAUUAUUUUGAUUGGGGUGAUUGAAAAAUAUUGAAAAACUUUUUUUAGAUCCAUCUGGAGUGAUUUAGUGAAUAAGGUACUUUAGGGAUAACAGCGUUAUUAUUUUGAAAAGAUCGUAUUUAUAAAAUAGAUUGCGACCUCGAUGUUGGAUUGAAAUACCUGAUAGGAGCAGGAUUUUAUUGGGGCAGUUUGUUCAACUGUUAAAUUUUCACUUGAUCU